GACUCUAAGCGGUGGAUCACUCGGUUCUCGGGUCGAUGAAGAACGCAGCCAAUCUGUCUCGCGUGUGUGAAUUGCAGGACACACUGAGCACUGAUUCUUUGAACGCACAUUGCGGCCUUGGGUCUUCCCUUGGCUUCGUCUGUCUGAGGGUCG
rnacentral:rRNA from 1 species